rnacentral:rRNA from 1 species
UACGUAGGUCGCAAGCGUUGUCCGGAUUUACUGGGCGUAAAGAGCGCGCAGGCGGCUGGUCAAGUCCGAUGUGAAAUCUCCCGGCUCAACUGGGAAACUGCAUCGGAAACUGACCGGCUUGAAGGUGGGAGAGGGUAGUGGAAUUCCCGGUGUAGUGGUGAAAUGCGUAGAUAUUGGGAGGAACACCAGUGGCGAAGGCGGCUCACUGGACCGGUACUGACGCUGAGGCGCGAAAGCGUGGGGAGCAAACAGG